rnacentral:misc_RNA from 1 species
GAUGAAGAACGUAGCGAAAUGCGAUAAGUAAUGUGAAUUGCAGAAUUCAGUGAAUCAUCGAAUCUUUGAACGCACAUUGCGCCCGCCAGUAUUCUGGCGGGCAUGCCUGUUCGAGCGUCAUUUCAACCAUCAAGCCCCCGGCUUGUGUUGGGGCCCUGCGGCUGCCGCAGGCCCUGAAAAGCAGUGGCGGGCUCGCUGUCACACCGAGCGUAGUAGCAUACAUCUCGCUCUGGGCGUGCUGCGGGUUCCGGCCGUUAAACCACCUUCAUAACCCAAGGUUGACCUCGGAUCAGGUAGGAAGACCCGCUGAACUUAAGCAUAUCAAUAAGCGGAGGA